rnacentral:rRNA from 1 species
UGGCGAACGGGUGAGUAAUAUAUCGGAACGUGCCCUGGAGUGGGGGAUAACGCAGCGAAAGUUGCGCUAAUACCGCAUACGAUCUAAGGAUGAAAGUGGGGGAUUCGCAAGAACCUCAUGCUCCUGGAGCGGCCGAUAUCUGAUUAGCUAGUUGGUAGGGUAAAAGCCUACCAAGGCAUCGAUCAGUAGCUGGUCUGAGAGGACGACCAGCCACACUGGAACUGAGACACGGUCCAGACUCCUACGGGAGGCAGCAGUGGGGAAUUUUGGACAAUGGGCGCAAGCCUGAUCCAGCAAUGCCGCGUGAGUGAAGAAGGCCUUCGGGUUGUAAAGCUCUUUUGUCAGGGAAGAAACGGUGUCCUCUAAUACGGGGCGCUAAUGACGGUACCUGAAGAAUAAGCACCGGCUAACUACGUGCCAGCAGCCGCGGUAAUACGUAGGGUGCAAGCGUUAAUCGGAAUUACUGGGCGUAAAGCGUGCGCAGGCGGUUUUGUAAGUUUGUCGUGAAAGCCCCGGGCUCAACCUGGGAAUGGCGAUGA